AAUACAGGAUGCACAGUUAAAUUUGAAUUUCAGUAAGCAACCAAUAAAUUUUUAGCAUAAGUAUGUCCCACGCAAUAUUUGGGACAUACUUAUACUAAAAUCCAUUGUUUAUUUAUCUGAAAUGCAAGUUCAUCUGGACAUGCAGUAUUUU
rnacentral:miRNA from 1 species